rfam:Aureimonas sp. Leaf454 contig_6, whole genome shotgun sequence.
CUCCCGGUCUCCACAUCCGGGAAUUCUGAAGAGGCACACCCUCAUUGCCCUAAGUGCGGCGGGUUCAAGCCCUCCAAGCCAAGGCAGACAUAUCGGAACCUCAUGCGUGCGCGUCACGCCAUGGGUUCUCUCAACGUCGC